ACCGAAUAUCAUUAAAUGGGCGUUUCCGGGUGACCGGAAACUUAAUAGGAAAGCAAGCUGGUGAGAUUCCAGCGCAGUACCGCCUGCUGUAUAGUCAGAACGCCUGCCCUGCAUACGAUUUACUG
rnacentral:ncRNA from 2 species